UGAGCUUGAAUCCUGGCUCAGGACGAACGCUGGCGGCGUGCCUAAUACAUGCAAGUCGAGCGCAGGAAGCCGGCGGAUCCCUUCGGGGUGAAGCCGGUGGAAUGAGCGGCGGACGGGUGAGUAACACGUGGGCAACCUACCUUGUAGACUGGGAUAACUCCGGGAAACCGGGGCUAAUACCGGAUGAUCAUUUGGAUCGCAUGAUCCGAAUGUAAAAGUGGGGAUUUAUCCUCACACUGCAAGAUGGGCCCGCGGCGCAUUAGCUAGUUGGUAAGGUAAUGGCUUACCAAGGCGACGAUGCGUAGCCGACCUGAGAGGGUGAUCGGCCACACUGGAACUGAGACACGGUCCAGACUCCUACGGGAGGCAGCAGUAGGGAAUCAUCCGCAAUGGGCGAAAGCCUGACGGUGCAACGCCGCGUGAACGAUGAAGGUUUUCGGAUCGUAAAGUUCUGUUAUGAGGGAAGAACAAGUGCCGUUCGAAUAGGUCGGCACCUUGACGGUACCUCACGAAAGCCG
rnacentral:rRNA from 1 species